CUUCGGAGCCAGAGACCGGCGCACGGGUGCGUAACGCGUAUGCAAUCUACCUUUUACAGAGGGAUAGCCCAGAGAAAUUUGGAUUAAUACCUCAUAGUAUAUCAUGACCGCAUCGUCAAGAUAUUAAAGUCACAACGGUAAAAGAUGAGCAUGCGUCCCAUUAGCUAGUUGGUAAGGUAACGGCUUACCAAGGCUACGAUGGGUAGGGGUCCUGAGAGGGAGAUCCCCCACACUGGUACUGAGACACGGACCAGACUCCUACGGGAGGCAGCAGUGAGGAAUAUUGGACAAUGGGCGCAAGCCUGAUCCAGCCAUGCCGCGUGCAGGAUGACGGUCCUAUGGAUUGUAAACUGCUUUUAUACGAGAAGAAACACUGAUUCGUGAAUCAGCUUGACGGUAUCGUAAGAAUAAGGAUCGGCUAACUCCGUGCCAGCAGCCGCGGUAAUACGGAGGAUCCAAGCGUUAUCCGGAAUCAUUGGGUUUAAAGGGUCCGUAGGCGGUUUGGUAAGUCAGUGGUGAAAGCCCAUCGCUCAACGGUGGAACGGCCAUUGAUACUGCCAGACUUGAAUUAUUAGGAAGUAACUAGAAUAUGUAGUGUAGCGGUGAAAUGCUUAGAGAUUACAUGGAAUACCAAUUGCGAA
rnacentral:rRNA from 1 species